GUCCACGCCGUAAACGAUGUCUACUAGCUGUUCGUGACCUUGUGUCGUGAGUAGCGCAGCUAACGCAUUAAGUAGACCGCCUGGGGAGUACGGUCGCAAGAUUAAACUCAAAUGAAUUGACGGGGCCCGCACAAGCGGUGGGGCAUGUGGUUUAAUUCGACGCAACGCGAAGAACCUUACCUACUCUUGACAUCUACAGAAGACUGCAGAGAUGCGGUUGUGCCUUUCGGGAACUGUAAGACAGGUGCUGCAUGGCUGUCGU
rnacentral:rRNA from 1 species